rnacentral:lncRNA from 13 species
CCCGGCCGGCCGCCCCGCGGGCCCCUUGCAGAAGUUAGGGUCGCCUUCGAAACAAAUCCCUCUGCUCCACCCGCUUGAAAAAUUGAUUUGGGAGUUGGGGAGCGAAGGCUUUUUCUUUUCUCCCCUGCCUUCUUUAUUAUUAAUAUUUUGUAAAGCUGCAGCGCUACGAGGAGUGGCCCGAGCGAGGCCAGGCUGCGCGGACCGCGGGGAGCGCGGCGGCUCCGCCCGGGGACGGCGCCGGCCCUGAGUGGCUGCCCGGGGACCCCCGACUGUCGGCCGAGGGCCCUGCGGGUACGAUUCCGGACCAACGGAUUUCCCCUGGUGCCUCCGGCCCACGUCGCGGGAACCGCUCGCUCCUCGCCAGUGGAUACGGGAUGCUCUGCCGCUCAGAUUUUAGCGGCAGAAACGACCUCGGAUUCUCUCUACCUGGGGAAAGAUGAAUUCUGCGGCUCGGUAUCGCUAGAAGAAGGGAGAAUGAAAAGGGAGGCUCCGGGACGGGGGUUCCGGCUCCUUCCAGUCUGCGGACGUCCCAGCUCCAUUGAGCCCUGCCCUAGCCCCCCUUGCUUCUCUUCUUACGGCCGUGCACCCUCUCCUCUGCGCCACCCGCCUCCCGCGACCAGGGUCCUCUGAGCUGCCCCCCCCCCACCCCACUCAGCCCUGUCCAUCCCGCCCUGGGCUGUCUGGACCAUUUUGUGCUUCUGACCAGAGCCGGAGCUGCACUGCCCGCUCCCUGUUUGCCACCCCAGCUGGAGGCGCGGAUCUGGGGCAGCGCAAGGGCAGUCCAGGCUGGGUGAGAAGGAGCUAGAAGCCGAGGACCAGGACCUGUGAGCGUCUGUAUUUACUCUGCGGGGAGAGCCAGGGCUGUGGAGAGUCUGGGCCGUCUCACGUCGCCCCGCCGCCAUCGGCACUGCGGAGUCUCAGAUGCACAAGAGGCGGCCAGACUGGGUGAACCAGAGCCGUCCCAAGACGUGGGGCUGGGUUGGGGGUUGAUAUUCCUGGGAGGUGGCCUCGGGUCUACGGUCCUGGGAGAACCAUACAGACUCAGGAAGUGGAGCAGCAACACCCAGAGACAGAGUGCUGGAAA